rnacentral:sRNA from 1 species
CCAUAGCCCUGAUGGGAACGGCAUCCUUUUUUUUGGUUUGGAAAAGCUCAGGCAAAAAAGAUAUAGUGGACAGCAGGUUCCCGG